GGGAAUGGUUAAGUCCCGGUGGGCUUCCUGGUCUUCAAAAUCAGUGUCGGGGCGCGUGCGUUCCGGGGUGGGUUCGACUCCCAUCCAUUCCCG
rnacentral:tRNA from 1 species